rnacentral:rRNA from 1 species
AUUGAACGCUAGCGGGAUGCCUUACACAUGCAAGUCGAACGGAGUGGCGAACGGGUGAGUAAUGUCUCGGAACGUGCCCAUUAGCGGGGGAUAACUACGCGAAAGCGUAGCUAAUACCGCAUACUCUUGGAGCGGCAGAUAUCGGAUUAGCUAGUUGGUGGGGUAACGGCUCACCAAGGCGACGAUCCGUAGCUGGUGUGAGAGGACGACCAGCCACACUGGAACUGAGACACGGCCCAGACUCCGACGGGAGGCAGCAGUGGGGAAUGUGGGACAAUGGGGGAAACCCUGAUCCAGCCAUCCCGCGUGUGCGAUGAAGGCCUUCGGGUUGUAAAGCACUUUUGGCAGGAAAGCGGUACCUGCAGAAUAAGCACCGGCUAACUACGUGCCAGCCGCCGCGGUAAUUC